NNNNNNNNNNNNNNNNNNNNNNNNNNNGGAGGGGGAGGGGGGACAACGUUGUCCCCUCCCCCCACCCCCGGGUGGUCGCCCCUCCCCCCAUCACGGGAGCCCGGGGAGGGGGAGGGGCAGGAUCUGUCCCACGACGUCCCCUGGGGCCACCAAGGGGGGGGGUCGGCCCAGCCCCCGCAGCGGCAGCGCCCCCAGGAGGUGGCCUGGGGGGGGGGCACACGGGGGGCAAGGUCUUCUCCAGCCCACCAGCCAACCAGGUCCUCGGCACCCCCCACCCUUCAGCCCCUCCUCCUCCUCCUCCUCCAUCCAUCUCCAUCAUCUUCAUCCAUCCAUCUCCAUCAUCUUCAUCAUCUCCAUCCAUCAUCUCCAUCAUCUUCAUCCAUCCAUCCCCAUCUCAAUCAUCUUCAUCAUCUCCAUCCAUCCAUCUCCAUCAUCUCCAUCUUCAUCUUCAUCAUCUUCAUCCAUCCAUCCAUUUCCAUCAUCUUCAUCCAUCUCCACCAUCUUCAUCCAUCUCCAUCAUCUUCAUCCAUCCAUCCCCAUUGCCAUCAUCUCCAUCUUCAUCCAUCUCUACCAUCUCCAUCCAUCUCCAUCAUCUUCAUCAUCUCCAUCCAUCCAUCUCCAUCAUCUCCAUCUUCAUCUUCAUCAUCUUCAUCCAUCCAUCCAUUUCCAUCAUCUUCAUCCAUCUCCACCAUCUUCAUCCAUCUCCAUCAUCUUCAUCCAUCCAUCCCCAUUGCCAUCAUCUCCAUCUUCAUCCAUCUCUACCAUCUCCAUCCAUCUCCAUCAUCUUCAUCAUCUUCAUCCAUCUCCACCAUCUCCAUCCAUCUCCACCAUCUCCAUCAUCUUCCUCAUCUCCAUCCAUCCAUCCAUCCCCAUCUCCAUCAUCUCCAUCUUCAUCUUCAUCAUCUUCAUCCAUCCAUCCAUUUCCAUCAUCUUCAUCCAUCUCCAUCAUCUUCAUCAUCUCCAUCCAUCCAUCUCCAUCAUCUCCAUCUUCAUCUUCAUCCAUCCAUCCCCAUCUCAAUCAUCUCCAUCAUCUCCAUCAUCUUCAUCCAUCCAUCUCCAUCAUCUCCAUCAUCUCCAUCUUCAUCCCUCUCCACCAUCUCCAUCAUCUUCAUCUUCUCCAUCCAUCCAUCCAUCCAUCCAUCCAUCCAUCCAUCUCCAUCCAUUCAUCCAUCUUCAUCUUCAUCCAUCCCUGUCCAUCUCCAACCAUCUCCAACCAUCUCCAUCAUCUUCAUCCAUCCAUCCAUCCAUCCAUCCAUCUCCAUCUUCAUCCAUCCCUGUCCAUCUCCAUCCAUCUCCAUCCAUCCAUCUCCAUCCAUCCAUCUCCAUCAUCUUCAUCCAUCCAUCCAUCCAUCCAUCCAUCUCCAACCAUCUCCAUCUGUUCAUCCAUCUUCAUCCAUCUCCAUCCAUCUCCAACCAUCUCCAUCCAUCCAUCCAUCCAUCUCCAACCAUCUCCAACCAUCCAUCCAUCUUCAUCUUCAUCCAUCCCUGUCCAUCUCCAUCCAUCUCCAUCCAACCAUCUCCAUCCAUCCAUCCAUCCAUCCAUCCAUCCCCUUCCAUCCAUCCUCAUCUUCAUCCAGCCAUCUCUCGUGGUCCAUCCUUGGUGUCCCCUCACCUGGAGGUCCCCCCCCCCUUGUCCCCGUGGUGUCUCCUCACCUGUGAGCAGGUCCCGGGGCAGCAGCUUUCGGUGGGGGGCGCAGUUGUCACCGGGGCGGCAGCGAUUGUCCUCGGGGCACCAGGGGGCUGGAGGGGACACAAAGAGAGGGACGUAGGGAUGGAGGGCCACCACAGAGACCUCGGGGGACAUCAGGGAUAGACCCAGGGGACAGCGCGGCCGCGUGGUGGACGUAGGGAUGGAGGGACACCACCACGGAGACCUCGGGAUGGUCAAAGAGCUGGAGAACAUCAGGGAUGGCCACCAGAGGACACACAGAGGUCAUGGAUGGACACAUGGAGAUGUCAUGGAUGGUCAAAGAGCUGGAGAACAUCAGAGAUGGCCACCAGGGAUGGCCAUGUAGGAGCCCCACAAGUAGAACCUCCACCCCCUUGGUGGAGGAGACCCCAUCUCCACCCCCAACCCCACGUCCUCCCCCCCCCGCCAAAGGUCCCCAACUCACGGCAGAAGUUGAGGUUCCUCCAAGGUCCCACCCGCGCCCCGGCCUGGUGACACGCGGCCUCGUAGGCCCCCAGGACCUCCUGGAGGACCUCUUGGAGGACCUCCUGAAGGACCUCCUUGUCCCCGGGGACCUCGCAAAGCUCCUGGAGACACACGUCGUAGAAGACUUUGGGGUUGACCAAAGGGUGACAACCCCCAAAAGGACCUCGGGGGACGCGGAGGACG
rnacentral:lncRNA from 1 species